rnacentral:rRNA from 1 species
UACGAAGGUCCCAAACGUUAUCCGGAUUUAUUGGGUUUAAAGGGUGCGUAGGCGGUCUAUUAAGUCAGUGGUGAAAGCCCCAAGCUCAACUUGGGAACUGCCAUUGAUACUGAUGGACUUGAGUACAUUUGAGGUGGGCGGAAUGUGUCAUGUAGCGGUGAAAUGCUUAGAUAUGACACAGAACACCGAUUGCGAAGGCAGCUCACUAAACUGUAACUGACGCUGAGGCACGAAAGCGUGGGGAGCAAACAGG